UACGAAGGGGGCUAGCGUUGCUCGGAAUGACUGGGCGUAAAGGGCGCGUAGGCGGAUGGCACAGUCAGAUGUGAAAUUCCCGGGCUUAACCUGGGGGCUGCAUUUGAUACGUGUUGUCUAGAGUGAGGAAGAGGGUUGUGGAAUUCCCAGUGUAGAGGUGAAAUUCGUAGAUAUUGGGAAGAACACCGGUGGCGAAGGCGGCAACCUGGGUCGAUACUGACGCUGAGGUGCGAAAGCGUGGGGAGCAAACAGG
rnacentral:rRNA from 1 species